rnacentral:rRNA from 1 species
CCUACGGGGGGCAGCAGUGAGGAAUAUUGGUCAAUGGACGAGAGUCUGAACCAGCCAAGUAGCGUGAAGGAUGACUGCCCUAUGGGUUGUAAACUUCUUUUAUAUGGGAAUAAAAUGUUCCACGUGUGGGAUUUUGUAUGUACCAUAUGAAUAAGGAUCGGCUAACUCCGUGCCAGCAGCCGCGGUAAUACGGAGGAUCCGAGCGUUAUCCGGAUUUAUUGGGUUUAAAGGGAGCGUAGGUGGAUUGUUAAGUCAGUUGUGAAAGUUUGCGGCUCAACCGUAAAAUUGCAGUUGAAACUGGCAGUCUUGAGUACAGUAGAGGUGGGCGGAAUUCGUGGUGUAGCGGUGAAAUGCUCAGAUAUCACGAAGAACUCCGAUUGCGAAGGCAGUUCACUGGACUGCAACUGACACUGAGGCUCGAAAGUGUGGGUAUCAAACAGGAUUAGAUACCCGAGUAGUC